rnacentral:rRNA from 1 species
GAUGAACGCUGACAGCAUGCUUAACACAUGCAAGUCAACUUGAACUUCGGUUUGGGUGGCGGACGGGUGAGUAACGCGUAAAGAACUUGCCUCACAGCUAGGGACAACAUUUGGAAACGAAUGCUAAUACCUGAUAUUAUGAUUAUAUGGCAUCGUAUAAUUAUGAAAGCUAUAUGCGCUAUGAGAGAGCUUUGCGUCCCAUUAGCUAGUUGGAGAGGUAACAGCUCACCAAGGCGAUGAUGGGUAGCCGGCCUGAGAGGGUGAUCGGCCACAAGGGGACUGAGACACGGCCCUUACUCCUACGGGAGGCAGCAGUGGGGAAUAUUGGACAAUGGACCGAGAGUCUGAUCCAGCAAUUCUGUGUGCACGAUGAAGUUUUUCGGAAUGUAAAGUGCUUUCAGUUGGGAAGAAAAAAAUGACGGUACCAACAGAAGAAGUGACGGCUAAAUACGUG